rnacentral:rRNA from 1 species
GGGGAAUAUUGCACAAUGGGGGAAACCCUGAUGCAGCAACGCCGCGUGAAGGAUGACGGUUUUCGGAUUGUAAACUUCUUUUCUUAGUGACGAAGACAGUGACGGUAGCUAAGGAAUAAGCACCGGCUAACUACGUGCCAGCAGCCGCGGUAAAACGUAGGGUGCAAGCGUUGUCCGGAAUUACUGGGUGUAAAGGGAGCGCAGGCGGGAAGACAAGUUGGAAGUGAAAACCAUGGGCUCAACCCAUGAAUUGCUUUCAAAACUGUUUUUCUUGAGUAGUGCAGAGGUAGAUGGAAUUCCCGGUGUAGCGGUGGAAUGCGUAGAUAUCGGGAGGAACACCAGUGGCGAAGGCGGUCUACUGGGCACCAACUGACGCUGAGGCUCGAAAGCAUGGGUAGCAAACAGGAUUAGAUACCCUGGUAGUCCAUGCCGUAAACGAUGAUUACUAGGUGUUGGGGGAUUGACCCCCUCAGUGCCGCAGUUAACACAAUAAGUAAUCCACCUGGGGAGUACGACCGCAAGGUUGAAACUCAAAGGAAUUGACGGGGGCCCGCACAAGCAGUGGAGUAUGUGGUUUAAUUCGAAGCAACGCGAAGAACCUUACCAGGUCUUGACAUCCGAUGCAUAACACAGAGAUGUGUGAAAUCCUUCGGGACAUCGAGACAGGUGGUGCAUGGUUGUCGUCAGCUCGUGUCGUGAGAUGUUGGGUUAAGUCCCGCAACGAGCGCAACCCUUAUUGCCAGUUACUACGUUAAGAGGACUCUGGCGAGACUGCCGUUGACAAAACGGAGGAAGGUGGGGAUGACGUCAAAUCAUCAUGCCCUUUAUGACCUGGGCUACACACGUACUACAAUGGCGUUAAACAAAGAGAAGCAAGACCGCGAGGUGGAGCAAAACUCAAAAACAACGUCUCAGUUCAGAUUGCAGGCUGCAACUCGCCUGCAUGAAGUCGGAAUUGCUAGUAAUCGCGGAUCAGCAUGCCGCGGUGAAUACGUUCCCG